AUCCCAUCUAUUCAAAUGGCCUAGCAAAGAGUGGGAUUGCAUCAUGUGGAUUGCCUUCUUGUAGACACUUUUUCUGAAGGAAAUCUUCUUGUAGACACUUGAGCCCUAAAUCUUCCUCUACUCUCACAAAAUGACAAAACAACCAAGCCCAGAAGAUAUAGAAUACAUUACUUGGCAUUUCUGGUAUUGACAAAGAAAGUAUCUUUUCUUUUGGAGGAUCAUGUUAUUCCAUUGCAGAAUUGGUGGCCACGAUUUUUUUCCAUUCUGC
rnacentral:lncRNA from 1 species